CCUACGGGAGGCAGCAGUGGGGAAUAUUGGACAAUGGGCGCAAGCCUGAACCAGCGACGCCGCGUGAGUGAGGACGGAUCUCGGUGUGUAAAACUGUAUCAGCAGGGAAGAAAAUGACGGUACCUGACUAAGAAGCCGCGGCUAACUACGUGCCAGCAGCCGCGGUAAUACGUAGGGGGCAAGCGUUAUCCGGAUUUACUGGGUGUAAAGGGAGCGUAGACGGUGCAGCAAGUCUGAUGUGAACGGUCGUGGCCCAACCCUGGGACUGCAUUGGAAACUGUUGAACUGGAGUACAGGAGGGGUAGGCGGAAUUCCUAGUGUAGCGGUGAAAUGCGUAGAUAUUAGGAGGAACACCAGUGGCGAAGGCGGCUUACUGGACUGUAACUGACGUUGAGGCUCGAAAGCGUGGGGAGCAAACAGGAUUAGAUACCCGGGUAGUC
rnacentral:rRNA from 1 species